rnacentral:rRNA from 1 species
CCUACGGGUGGCCGCAGUGGGGAAUAUUGCACAAUGGGGGAAACCCUGAUGCAGCGACGCCGCGUGAGUGAAGAAGUAUUUCGGUACGUAAAGCUCUAUCAGCAGGGAAGAAAAUGACGGUACCUGACUAAGAAGCCCCGGCUAACUACGUGCCAGCAGCCGCGGUAAUACGUAGGGGGCAAGCGUUAUCCGGAUUUACUGGGUGUAAAGGGAGCGUAGACGGCAGCGCAAGUCUGGAGUGAAAUCCCAUGGCUUAACCAUGGAACUGCUUUGGAAACUGGGCAGCUAGAGUGCAGGAGAGGUAAGCGGAAUUCGGGGUGUAGCGGUGAAAUGCUUAGAUAUCACGAAGAACCCCGAUUGCGAAGGCAGCUUACUAAACUGUGACUGACAUUGAUGCUCGAAAGUGUGGGUAUCAAACAGGAUUAGAGACCCUGGUAGUC